rnacentral:misc_RNA from 1 species
CUCUAUAUAUUAUUCAAAGAGAAAAUAAAUUUUUAUGAAUAUUUAGUGCAUUACUUUUUAGUAUAUUGAUGUAACUAAGAAUUUGCCAUAUUCUAAUCAAGCAUUAGAAUGCUAAAAUUGCAAAAUACAAAUUUAAUUAGUUACCCAAAAUAUCUAGUGACGUGAUUUUCGCUAUGGAAGUGCAUUUUCCAACAAGAAGAUGAAGCAAGGGGAAGUCAUGUCCCCAGGAAGGGGACCAAGCUGAGCAUCGUGAUCCAUGAAUAUUUGCAGGGGAAAUGGUUCUCCCUGGCUUAGAAAAUAGUUGAAGAGACCGUCAAAUCGAGUAUACAGAGGGUUCCAGUCAUGUUGAAGGGGAACAAGGAAUUAGAGAAGUACUAUAAACCAAGGCUGGUUGCAAUCUAUGAAGCACGGAAACGGCACUGAGUCACGUUUCCUAGUGUUGG